UACGUAGAGUGCGAGCGUUGUCCGGAAUUAUUGGGCGUAAAGAGCUCGUAGGCGGUUUGUCGCGUCGACUGUGAAACCCCGAGGCUUAACCUCGGGCCUGCAGUCGAUACGGGCAGACUAGAGUUCGGUAGGGGAGACUGGAAUUCCUGGUGUAGCGGUGAAAUGCGCAGAUAUCAGGAGGAACACCGGUGGCGAAGGCGGGUCUCUGGGCCGAUACUGACGCUGAGGAGCGAAAGCGUGGGGAGCGAACAGG
rnacentral:rRNA from 1 species